rnacentral:tRNA from 1 species
GCCUGGGUGGCUCAGGGGUUGAGCAUCCGACUUCAGCUCUGGUCAUGAUCUCACAGUUCGUGGGUUCGAGCCCCAUGUCAGGCU